GAUGAAGAACGCAGCGAAAUGCGAUAAGUAAUGUGAAUUGCAGAAUUCAGUGAAUCAUCGAAUCUUUGAACGCCCAUUGCGACCGCCAGUAUUCUGGCGGGCAUGCCUGUUCGAGCGUCAUUACAACCCUCAGGCCCCCGGGCCUGGCGUUGGGGAUCGGCGGAAGCCCCCUGUGGGCACACGCCGUCCCUCAAAUACAGUGGCGGUCCCGCCGCAGCUUCCAUUGCGUAGUAGCUAACACCUCGCUACUGGAGAGCGGCGCGGCCAUGCCGUAAAACACCCAACUUCUGAAUGUUGACCUCGAAUCAGGUAGGAAUACCCGCUGAACUUAAGCAUAUCAAUAAGCGGAGGA
rnacentral:misc_RNA from 1 species